GUUCUCUCCUCCUUGCCAAUCUUCCUGCUGACAGCUUUAAGAGUUGACAAGGGCAUCCUAAAGGCCUUCGCCAAGAUUAGUCGCGGAAUGCUUUGGGCUUGCAAGGAAGUGGUUAGCGGGGGGAAGUGCAAGGUCAACUGGCAGAAAGUUUGCCGCCCCAAGGAGCUGGGCGGCCUUGGGAUUCUGGACUUGGAAAGGUUCUCUCGUGCUCUUAGGCUUCGCUGGUUGUGGUACGAAUGGACGGCACCUGAAAAACCUUGGGUGGGAUCUGAAACCCCUAACGAUGCCUCCGACAGGGACCUCUUC
rnacentral:rRNA from 1 species